rnacentral:rRNA from 1 species
GUGUGAAAGCUCCUUUGACGAGUCGAGUUGUUUGGGAAUGCAGCUCAAAAUGGGUGGUAAAUUUCAUCUAAAGCUAAAUAUUGGCCAGAGACCGAUAGCGCACAAGUAGAGUGAUCGAAAGAUGAAAAGCACUUUGGAAAGAGAGUCAAACAGUACGUGAAAUUGUUGAAAGGGAAGCGCUUGCAACCAGACUUGCCCGCAGGUGAUCAGCCGGUAUUCUUACUGGUGCACUCGCCCGUGGUCAGGCCAGCAUCGGUUCGGACGGCUGGAUAAAGUCCACUGGAAUGUAGCUCCUCUCGGGGAGUGUUAUAGCCAGAGGUGCCAUGCAGCCCGCCCGGACCGAGGACCGCGCUUCGGCUAGGAUGCUGGCGUAAUGGUUGUAAGCGACCCGUCUUGAAACACGGACCAAGGAGUCUAACAUCUAUGCGAGUGUUUGGGUGUCAAACCCAUGCGCGUAAUGAAAGUGAACGGAGGUGGGAACCCUCAAGGGUGCACCAUCGACCGAUCCUGAUGUCUUCGGAUGGAUUUGAGUAAGAGCAUAGCUGUUGGGACCCGAAAGAUAACUAUGCCUGAAUAGGGUGAAGCCAGAGGAAACUCGCAGCGGUUCUGACGUGCAAAUCCGAUCGUCAAAUUUGGGUAU